GAUGAACGCUAGCGGCAGGCUUAAUACAUGCAAGUCGAGGGGUCAGCAAUGACACCGGCGGACGGGUGCGUAACGCGUAUGCAACCUACCUACAUCAGGGGGAUAGCCCUAGGAAACUGGGAUUAACACCGCAUAAUAUUAUUAAUGGCAUCAUUGAUAAUUGAAAUAUUUAUAGGAAGUAGAUGGGCAUGCGUAAGAUUAGCUAGUUGGUAAGGUAACGGCUUACCAAGGCUACGAUCUUUAGGGGCUCUGAGAGGAGUAUCCCCCACACUGGCACUGAGAUACGGGCCAGACUCCUACGGGAGGCAGCAGUAGGGAAUAUUGGGCAAUGGAGGCAACUCUGACCCAGCCAUGCCGCGUGCAGGAAGACGGCCCUCUGGGUUGUAAACUGCUUUUGAAUGGGAAGAAUGUGUGGCUUGCGAGCUAUAAUGACGGUACCAUUAGAAUAAGCCACGGCUAACUACGUGCCAGCAGCCGCGGUAAAACGU
rnacentral:rRNA from 1 species